GGCUUCCCGCACCCACUCACCACCCCCGGCUACGGCGAGCGACGAGCAGCAGAAAGGGCCGGCACCGGCGGGGGGCGAAGCGCCCCCUGCCCUUCCUUGCAGAGCCGGGGCAAAGGUUCAAUGAUCAUUCAGAAUCUGAAGUGGAGGAAUCUGCAUACCACCAACUUCUGGACCAACUAAGGACACCUAUAGUUGAAUCCUCACCAUCACUGGAUGACUCACCUUGUGUGGAAGCACCAGCAUCUACAGCCCAGACAUCUGUAGUGAAAUUGCCAGUGUCUGCAGACCAGUUGGCUGUUAAGAAGCCACCACGUUCUGAGCACCAUUUCCUGCUCAUUGUAUAGUCUGCAUCCAGGGAAAGCUCACCUGAGAUCAGAUCACCUGUGGGUAAACUUCCAGGUUUCAAAGUCAAGAUGUACACCCCUGAAUCCACACAGGAUGGCAGUAACACCGUUGAGACUGUGUUGUCAGCAGCAGAGAUUACGUUUGAAUCAUUGGAGAAUCCAGAGACUUUUGCAGACCCCUAUCAAAUUGCCAUGGAUUAUGUGGAGGAACAUAAAAUUCUACAGAUAUUUCAGGCUAUCACAGAAAAACUGCUGAUCCAUAAGCCUGGUGACCCCUUGCAGUUCAUAUUGCAGGAGGUGCAGUCUAUGAUAGAUGCCAGGCAAGCAGAACCGGAGAGACAAUAGGAAGAGAACAAAGAUGUGCAAGUGCUCUAAUUUCCUGAUGAAUGGUGGUGUAUUCCCAAAUGACUGUUUCUAUGGCUGUGAAGAGAGCACCAUAAAAACUUCCAUCUAUCUAUUUUUAAAAAAAUAAUGUAUGAUGAUUGGGUUGUGUGAUUCUACACAGCACAGCUCGGGCGCCAAAAGUCUGGGAAUAACAGUGGGCAAGUAUUUGGCAUACAAAUUCCGAGUGUGAGAUGAGUUUCCUUUCUAUCUGAGUUUCUCAAAAAGGAUCAGUUAACUCAUAUAUUUCAAGACUGAAGGCAGGUAAGCACCCCUGUCAUUCGUAGGGCAGACUGUUUUUCAAGGUGAUAGUGAGACUAAAGAUGGCUUAAGAUUCAGAUUAAAUCUUCAUUGGUUUUAUAAGAGUUUUAAUGUAGACUUAGGCAUUGAGGUCCCACUACAGCAGUGAGACGGUUUUGAAAUCCCUACUUAUCUCCAGCAACUGGAAAACUCUGUCAUUGAGAAUCUGAGAUUGAUCUGCUUACAAAUUAUUGACCAAAAAUGUAUCAGGCUGAAAAACAAUGUAUAUGUGCCCUGUCCUAAUGUAUCUGUGGGGAACAGGAAAUGUGUGGAAGAUGAAGAUAGUGUUUGAAGCCUUCUCAUCUCUAUAGUCAUUUGUCAGCACAUUGUCCGAGGAGAUGGAGAAGCUGACAUGUCUUUGAAUUCUGUUGUAGAACAGGAUUAGGAUGCCUUGGGGUACAGCCUUCACUGUGUAUUUCCUGCCUCUGUCAUUUGGAUAUUGCAUUUUGUUGUUCUCUUUUUCUUACGAAAAGCUUGUGACCUGUAAUAUGUUUUCAGACUAUAAGUAUAUGCUUUCAACUUCAUGUCAGCAAUAAGGAAGUUAGGCAAGGGAAGAUCCUUAAUUCCUCUCAGGUAGGUUGAAAUGAGCUGGAAAGCAGUCUUCUUACAGGUGACAGAAGUUUUGCAAGAGAGGCCGUACCCAGUGUUCCUGAGUAAUCUCAGGGCCACAGUUUUCCUUUGGUGGCCUGGCCACCUCAUCUCAUGCAAACAAAGUUGCUGUGUGGUAGCAAGAAGUCCUCCCCAGUAUACAUAAGAGAGAGCAUCUGUCUUGUCUGUUUCUCAUAAAAAAGUGUUUCAUGUUCUUUUGUUUCUACUAAGGAGACGUCUUUCUCCUUUGAAAAGCAGUUUUCUGGAGAUGAAUGAGGCUAUACCCAGGACAACCUCUGUGAGCCUGGAGUUGGCAUAUGUAGAUGGCAUGAAACUGGGGAAGAUCAUGAGCUAAGGAAAAAUGUCACUUCACCUCAAGACUCUCAGAUGAUUGAACUUAAGUUUAUGAAAACAAAAAAAGCAUCCUCCAGAAUGUUUGCAGAUUACAGUGUUUGAGGUAGUGUCACACAGCUGUAUUUUUUGAUCUGCUUCAAAAUUAUUCUGAAAAAUAAAUUCUAGGUCUAGAAAAAAUCUACUUGACA
ensembl:lncRNA